GCUGGUGUGGCUCAGUCGGUAGAGCAGUUCACUCGUAAUGAACAGGUCAAGAGUUCGAUUCUCUUCACCAGCUCCA
rnacentral:tRNA from 1 species